rnacentral:rRNA from 1 species
UCAGGAAUAUUGCUCAAUGGGAGAAAUCCUGAAGCAGCAACGCCGCGUGGAGGAUGAAGGGUCUAUGACUUGUAAACUCCUGUAAAGAAGGAAAAAAUUCCCAUUAGAUGGGAGAUGAUGGUACUUCUGGAGUAAGCCCCGGCUAACUACGUGCCAGCAGCCGCGGUAAUACGUAGGGGGCAAGCGUUGUCCGGAUUUACUGGGUGUAAAGGGUGCUCAGGCGGAUUUGUAAGUCAGAGGUGAAAUCUCACAGCUUAACUGUGAAACUGCCUUUGAUACUGCAAGCCUAGAGUAUGGAAGAGAGUGAUGGAAUAUCUGGUGUAGCAGUGAAAUGCGUAGAUAUCAGAUAGAACACCAAUGGCGAAGGCAGUCACUUGGUCCAUUACUGACGCUAAAGCACGAAAGCGUGGGUAGCAAACA